rnacentral:lncRNA from 10 species
CCAGUUCUCAUUUUUAUUGCAAAUGGUAGAAGUCAUGGAACUUCUCCUUUAAAGUCAUUUUUUUCUUUCCCAGAAAGGCCACAUGGAAAGCAGUGCUCCUCUUCUUCACUGGAUGUGAUCAUUUUUGCAUAAGAGAUUACUGAAUCAUCUUGCAAUAACAUAAGACUUGUCUGCCUGCCAAAAUACAGGAAUGCCUCUGCUGUAUGUCAUGAAGGAAUGGCAUGAUUCCUUCCACUCUCAUGCCUUUAAGAUUUAGUUCAUUGAACUUUAGAACUGAAAAUGGUCUUACAGGGAAUCUUGUCCUGGGCUUUGUAAGCUGAGCUCCUAAGAGUCAUCACAGUUACCCAAUGCAGUGGGAGUGAGCAGGGUCCAGCAGAUCUCCUCAGCCAGAGGAG